CAGCGUCACGAGUGGCAAUCGUAUUUAUUGGGCCUAAAGCGUCCGUAGCCUGUUUAAGAAGUCUUUUGUGAAAUCGUUGCGCUUAACGUAACGGUGUGCAAAAGAUACUCUUAGACUUGAAACCGGAGAAGAGUCAGAGGUAUUCUGGGGGGAGCGGUAAAAUGCUAUAAUCCUCGGAGGACCACCUGUGGCGAAAGCGUCUGACUAGAACGGCUUUGACGGUGAGGGACGAAAGCCAGGGGAGCAAACCGGAUUAGAUACCCGAGUAGUCC
rnacentral:rRNA from 1 species